rnacentral:rRNA from 1 species
CCCAGACUCCUACGGGAGGCAGCAGUGGGGGAUAUUGCACAAUGGGGGGAACCCUGAUGCAGCGACGCCGCGUGGGUGAAGGAGCGUUUCGGCGCGUAAAGCCCUAUCGGCAGGGAAGAAGGAGGACGGUACCUGACUAAGAAGCCCCGGCUAACUACGUGCCAGCAGCCGCGGUAAUACGUAGGGGGCAAGCGUUAUCCGGAUUUACUGGGUGUAAAGGGGGCGCAGACGGCAGCGCAAGCCAGGAGUGAAAGCCCGGGGCCCAACCCCGGGACUGCUCUUGGAACUGCGCGGCUGGAGUGCAGGAGGGGCAGGCGGAAUUCCUGGUGUAGCGGUGAAAUGCGUAGAUAUCAGGAGGAACACCGGUGGCGAAGGCGGCCUGCUGGACUGCGACUGACGUUGAGGCCCGAAAGCGUGGGGAGCAAACAGGAUUAGAUCCCCCCGUA